AUUGAACGCUGGCGGCAUGCUUUACACAUGCAAGUCGGACGGCAGCACAGAGAAGCUUGCUUCUUGGGUGGCGAGUGGCGGACGGGUGAGUAAUAUAUCGGAACGUACCGAGUAAUGGGGGAUAACUAAUCGAAAGAUUAGCUAAUACCGCAUAUUCUCUGAGGAGGAAAGCAGGGGACCUUCGGGCCUUGCGUUAUUCGAUCGGCCCAUAUCUGAUUAGCUAGUUGGUGGGGUAAAGGCCUACCAAGGCGACGAUCAGUAGCGGGUCUGAGAGGAUGAUCAGCCACACUGGAACUGAGACACGGCCCAGACUCCUACGGGAGGCAGCAGUGGGGAAUAUUGGACAAUGGGCGCAAGCCUGAUCCAGCCAUGCCGCGUGUCUGAAGAAGGCCUUCGGGUUGUAAAGGACUUUUGUCAGGGAAGAAAAGGCUGAUGCUAAUAUCGACAGCUGAUGACGGUACCUGAAGAAUAAGCACCGGCUAACUACGUG
rnacentral:rRNA from 1 species